CAAGAAAUAGUUUAAAUAAAGAAUAUUAAUUUUGGAGAUUAAAGGUAUAUUUGUUUUCAUAUUUUUUUGA
rnacentral:tRNA from 1 species